AGCCACAGCCAUAUCACCCUGCAGGCCAAGACCGGUUACUCACUGAAGCUAAGCAGGGCUGAGCCUGGUCAGUACCUGGAUGGGAGACCACUAGGGAACACUAGGUUGCUGUUGGAA
rnacentral:rRNA from 1 species